GCCUGCCCAGUGACAAAGUUCAACGGCCGCGGAAUCCUAACCGCGCGAAGGUAGCAUAAUCACUUGUUUCCUAAAUAGAGACUCGUAUCAACGGCAUCACGAGGGUUAGACUGUCUCCCCCACCCAAUCAGUGAAACUGAUCCCCCCGUGAAGAAGCGGGGAUAAGUAUAUAAGACGAGAAGACCCUAUGGAGCUUCAGGCUCGAUGGACAGCCUACCUAAACAAACCCCCUCACCAAAUAAGAUAUGCCCAUCCGCCUUCGGUUGGGGCGACCAGGGAGUAAAACAAAACCUCCACAACAAACAGGACUAAACCUUAAUCCAAGAGCCACCGCUCUAAGAAUAGAUAAAUCAAUGUAAAAUGACCCGAAAAUCGAUCAAUGAACCAAGUUACCCUAGGGAUAACAGCGCAAUCCAUUUCCAGAGCCCUUAUCCACAAAUGGGUUUACGACCUCGAUGUUGGAUCAGGGUGUCCCAGUGGUGCAGCCGCUACUAAAGGUUCGUUUGUUCAACGAUUAAAACCCUAC
rnacentral:rRNA from 1 species